rnacentral:rRNA from 1 species
GCUUAGCCCUAAACAUAGAUAAUUUUUCAACAAAAUAAUUCGCCAGAGGACUACUAGCAAUAGCUUAAAACUCAAAGGACUUGGCGGUGCUUUAUAUCCCUCUAGAGGAGCCUGUUCUAUAAUCGAUAAACCCCGAUAAACCUCACCACCUUUCGCUAAUUCAGUCUAUAUACCGCCAUCUUCAGCAAACCCUCAAAAGGUAGAACAGUAAGCACAAUCAUUUUACAUAAAAAAGUUAGGUCAAGGUGUAACUUAUGAGGUGGGAAGAAAUGGGCUACAUUUUCUACCCAAGAACAUUUCACGAAUGUUUUUAUACGAAAUUAAAAACUGAAGGAGGAUUUAGUAGUAAAUUAAGAAUAGAGAGCUUAAUUGAAUAGGGCCAUGAAGCAC